ACGACUCUGCAGAAAAGAUACGAUCGAUGGAAUAGGAAUUUAGUUAACUUCCUGUGUCUGUGUGUGUGUAGUGUGUUUGAUGUCCAGUCUUACUUACCAUGUACGUUGCCAGCUUGCUCUCUGAAGGAACUCCAUUGGAGGGAGAAAAGAAUAUUGGAUCCAUAGUCCACGAGAACCUACGAAGAGGGGUGAGAGAUGUGGAAUAACCUAACUUCUCCUCAGAUGCGGUCAUAUCAUUAUUAGCUCACACAUCUGGUGUCUGAUUCUCUGGACAAGAGCAGCCUCACCAGCGCCGACAUGCUUGGAAGAUCUGAUGACAAACUGUGUUUGGUAAAGCCAUUAAUUGCAUCAGAUCUUUAGCCCUCUUUAAAUUCGUCAGCAGAAGAUAUCCAUAGAUUCGUGUUCAUAAAAGCCUAGAUGACAAUGAUUUUCCUAAAUUCUCUAAAGCGGAGAACAUAGAGGCUUUGCCUUCCGUGGUGUGAGCUGAAUUUGAGGCACAAAUCGCUACCCCGAAAGACAUAACCGGCAGGUGAAGCAGCUGCUGACAAAACCGUGCCCAUCGCCAAAAGCGGUGCGAAAAAAGGUAAACCAAAAAAAGAGAAUGUCGGUCACCGCCGCAACUGCUGCUGGUGGUGAUGGUAGUGACGGCGGAUGCUUCAACGGUUACUAUGAUGUUGUCGCUCUACAUUUUGCCAUUCGGGUUUUGGGGCAAGGGUGACGUUGUAACCGGGAGCUUCAAAGCUCUCUGCCUCAUCUCGUGUGCUGUGGAACAAGCCUACGCAUACAAUCUCCAUUUUGCCCUCCAAUAAUAGGCACGAAAUGAACACACAUUGUUGUUAGGUGGGUGUCGUGCCCCGCUCAAAGGACGCCCAGAUUUAUGCAUCCCACGCGUUUGGUUAUGCAGCAUAUGGACGCAGCGAACUGGAAGCAGAGCAAAAACAGGAUCAAUAUGUGGGUAGAUAGUCGCGAAGACUCCCUAACAGCAUAUAAACACUGCUGUUGCACCACCAUUCCCAACAUCUGGGGGUUCUCGUUGGAGCGUUUAACCCUCCUGGCCAGCUUCAGCAAACAAUGGGCCGACACAACGCAUUCAAUCGCUGUGCGUCUCUCUUCCCCGCUCUCGGCACAUUGGCUUAAAUCCAUUAAUUAGCCAAGAAAAAAGGGGGCGAUAUCAUUAGACGGAAGGAACACACGGACUACCACACCACACUGUACAAAAAGCGCCGGUUGAUUGUAUUUUCGCUGGGAAACAGGUCCGGCAAAAAGCAAACGGGCAUCUCGAACGGGCGACGGAAUGACGAAUUCGGGGUUUCGUGUGUGCUCCAACCGGUGGCUGGCACACACGCGCCGACGGCAGCCAUUUUUGUUUGCGUUCUCUUUCCGUGAAAUAAAAUCAACCCUUCGCGCUCCACGCCACAAUCUCACGGACACGCACACACGAACACACACAAUCACAGCACUGUAUACAAAGAGGUGUUUUUGAUCGUUCUAGCAGCCCUUCGCUUCUGUCGUAAAAUGUAAACAACAAACAAACGCGACCAAGGAAGCGGAGCGUACGUGACGCAUGAGCAGCUGACAGUGCACUAUGGGUCAGUCGGUGGCCAUUUGGAAGGAGUAGUAAACUUUUAUUUUUUUAAGUACAACGAGGUUAAAUCGUGUUCAAAUUUAUUUUUGUUUCGAUAAAAUUGUCAUUUUAAUAUGCUCUGCAGAUAGUAAUACCAAAAAAUGUCAACAUUUCGACCCACUUUACGACUCCAUUUUCGGUCGCCAAAAUGUCUUCCAGCGUCGUAAACGUCGUUUGUAUGUUAAGCAAGCAAGCAGGAUCUACUAGCAGGCCUUUGGGACUUAUUGAACUUCGGAGAGUA